rnacentral:rRNA from 1 species
UACGUAGGGGGCAAGCGUUGUCCGGAAUCACUGGGCGUAAAGCGCGCGCAGGCGGCUGUUCACGUCUGAGGUGAAAGCCCAAGGCUCAACCUUGGAAUGGCCUUGGAAACGGAACAGCUUGAGGAUCGGAGAGGCAAGGGGAAUUCCACGUGUAGCGGUGAAAUGCGUAGAGAUGUGGAGGAACACCAGUGGCGAAGGCGCCUUGCUGGCCGAUGACUGACGCUGAGGCGCGAAAGCGUGGGGAGCAAACAGG